rnacentral:tmRNA from 1 species
GGGGGCGAUCUGGUUUCGACGGGGAUAGAUUGAGCCUGAAUGGCAAGCCGAGUAUCAGAACUCGUAAAUAACUGAAAACUAAACAUAAACGCUGACAAUAGCGAAUAUGCUCUAGCAGCCUAGUUUAGGCUGUUACGUCUACGGAGGUCUUCCUGCAGCUUCCAGUGGGCGACGAUUAGCAGGAUACUCCGGUUAAAGUACCUGCUGUUAUCCGGGGGAAACUUUUGCGGGCUGGCUGAUCCGGACCGUGUCUAUACGGGCCGGUAAAGCGAGAAUUAAAUUAUAGACUAAGCUUGUAGAAGUUUUGGUGGCAAUAUCUUCGGACGCGGGUUCGAUUCCCGCCGCCUCCACCA